UACGUAGGGCGCAAGCGUUGUCCGGAAUUAUUGGGCGUAAAGAGCUCGUAGGCGGCUUGUCACGUCGGGUGUGAAAGCCCGGGGCUUAACCCCGGGUCUGCAUUCGAUACGGGCUAGCUAGAGUGUGGUAGGGGAGAUCGGAAUUCCUGGUGUAGCGGUGAAAUGCGCAGAUAUCAGGAGGAACACCGGUGGCGAAGGCGGAUCUCUGGGCCUUACCUGACGCUGAGGAGCGAAAGCGUGGGGAGCGAACAGG
rnacentral:rRNA from 1 species